UUUUUAUUUAUUUCUUAUGUUGUUUUUUGUAAAAUGUUUUAAUUUAUUUUUGUUUAAUUUGAAAUAUCAAAAAUUUGAUUUUUGAACUGGAUUAGUACCCAGGUAAUCAAAAUUUAUUAAUUCGGGAGUAAAGUUUUGUUUAAACCGAAAAAAUAUUGACUGACCUUGGAUUUUUCUUUGGAACAUGUGUUUUGUUGGAGAGCCCUCUUUUUUGGCGAAUUUUAUUGGCACAUGUAUGAUUGUUUAGUUUUUAUUUAUUUUUGUAAUGCUUUUUUGUUUUGGCAUUAAAAACAGAUAUAUAUUUGGCUUAUAAAUUCGUUUUUCAUGUGUUACUAUUAUAAAUUUUUUUUGGAUAAAUUUUUUAUUUUUUUUUGAAAUUGGAAAAGAAAGUAAUUUUCUCUUGAUGUUUUGAUGAAUUU
rnacentral:rRNA from 1 species